GAUGAACGCUGGCGGCGUUCCUAAUACAUGCAAGUCGAGCGAACGGACGAGAAGCUUGCUUUUCUGAUGUUAGCGGCGGACGGGUGAGUAACACGUGGAUAACCUACCUAUAAGACUGGGAUAACUUCGGGAAACCGGAGCUAAUACCGGAUAAUAUUUUGAACCGCAUGGUUCAAAAGUGAAAGACGGUCUUGCUGUCACUUAUAGAUGGAUCCGCGCUGCAUUAGCUAGUUGGUAAGGUAACGGCUUACCAAGGCAACGAUGCAUAGCCGACCUGAGAGGGUGAACGGCCACACUGGUACUGAGACACGGUCCAGACUCCUACGGGAGGCAGCAGUAGGGAAUCUUCCGCAAUGGGCGAAAUCCUGACGGAGCAACGCCGCGUGAGUGAUGAAGGUCUUAGGAUCGUAAAACUCUGUUAUUAGGGAAUAACAUAUGUGUAAGUAACUGUGCACAUCUUGACGGUACCUAAUCAGAAAGCCGCGGCUAACUACGUG
rnacentral:rRNA from 1 species